AUUGAACGCUGGCGGCAGGCCUAACACAUGCAAGUCGAGCGAGCGGCGGACGGGUGCGUAAUGUCUGGGCAACUGCCUGAUGGAGGGGGAUAACUACUGGAAACGGUAGCUAAUACCGCAUACCAUCAGAUGUGCCCAGAUGGGAUUAGCUAGUAGGUGGGGUAAUGGCUCACCUAGGCGACGAUCCCUAGCUGGUCUGAGAGGAUGACCAGCCACCCUGGAACUGAGACACGGUCCAGACUCCGACGGGAGGCAGCAGUGGGGAAUAUGGCACAAUGGGCGCAAGCCUGAUGCAGGCAUGCCGCGUGUGUGAAGAAGGCCUUCGGGAAGUAAAGCACUUUCAGCGGGGAGGCGUAACCCGCAGAAGAAGCACCGGCUAACUCCGGGCCAGCAGCCGCGGUAAUUC
rnacentral:rRNA from 1 species